rnacentral:rRNA from 1 species
UACGAAGGGGCUAGCGUUGCUCGGAAUCAUGUACGUGGGCGUAAAGCGGCAUACGUAGGCGGAUUGAUCUAAGUUCAGGGGUGAAAUCCUGGAGCCUCAACUCCAGAACUGCCCUUUGAUACUUGGCGAUCGUUGAGUCCGAUAUGAGGUGGGUGGAAUUCCUAAGUGUAGAGGUGAAAUUCGAUAGAUAUUAGGGAAGAAACACCGG